rnacentral:rRNA from 1 species
CAUAGCGACUAUCGUGGCAUAUCAAUAAGCGGAGGAAAAGAAACUAACAAGGAUUCCCUAGUAACGGCGAGUGAAGCGGGAAGAGCUCAAAUUUGAAAUCUUAAAGGGUUUCCCUUUACGAAUUGUAGUUUAAAGAAGUGUUUUCUGUUAGAGGAGUAGGUAAAAGUUCUUUGGAAUAGGACAUCAUAGAGGGUGAGAAUCCCGUAUUUGACCGUUACUUUCCAGCUGUGUGAUACACUUUCAAAGAGUCGGAUUGUUUGGGAAUGCAGUCCAAGAUGGGUGGUAAAUUUCAUCUAAAGCUAAAUAUUGGCGAGAGACCGAUAGCGAACAAGUACCGUGAGGGAGAGAUGAAAAGAACUUUGAAAAGAGAGUUAAACAGUACGUGAAAUUGUCAAAAGGGAAGCGUUUGACACCAGUGUUGUUUUUCCGAAAAUCAAUUACGAAUGUUUUGUUUUUAAGAAGUUAUGACUUCAUCGGCUUGCUUCUCUCUUUACGAAACUUUCUUAAUGCACUUUUCGGUUAACAAGUCAACAUCAAUUUCUUUUGUUGUAAAAGGGUACUGAGGAAGGUGGCUUUCUUUUCGGAGAAAGUGUUUAUAGCCUUGUACCUCUGCAAUCGGAGAGAUUGAGGUCUGCAGCGUAGAUCCUUCGGGGUUAGAUACAUUUGUGCUAAGUUAUAGCUUUUCAUAGACAACUUGUUGACUAUGUUUAGUCUUGUAGCUUACUCGCUUAUGCUAUUUUACCUACGCUUAGGAUGUUGAUAUGCAUGACUGAUAU